CCUACGGGUGGCUGCAGUGGGGAAUAUUGGACAAUGGGGGCAACCCUGAUCCAGCCAUGCCGCGUGUGUGAAGAAGGCCUUCGGGUUGUAAAGCACUUUUGUUGGGGAAGAAACCGGCCGGGUUAAUACCCUGGUUGAAUGACGGUACCCAAAGAAUAAGCACCGGCUAACUUCGUGCCAGCAGCCGCGGUAAUACGAAGGGUGCAAGCGUUACUCGGAAUUACUGGGCGUAAAGCGUGCGUAGGCGGUUUGUUAAGUCUGCUGUGAAAGCCCUG
rnacentral:rRNA from 1 species